AGUAUUGUUCAGAUGUGCAGCACUUGGCGGUGAAUGGGUUAACACCCACUCAAGUAGAAAUGUAUCCUACGGCGAACGAUGAAAUUUCGGUUCAGAACAUUGUAUCACCAAAAAAAUGCAAGACUGGAACCACAAUGCAGAUGGGGGG